GAUGAACGCUGGCGGCGUGCUUAAUACAUGCAAGUCGAACGAGGAACUUUUGUCUUCGGAUAGAGGUUUCCUAGUGGCGAACGGGUGAGUAACGCGUUGGUGACCUGCCCCGAAGUGGGGGAUAACAGUUCGAAAGGACUGCUAAUACCUCAUAAUAUCAAUUGGAUUAGAUACCUUUUGAUCAAAGGCGUAAGCCGCUUUGGGAGGGGCCUGCGUCCCAUCAGCUAGUUGGUAAGGUAAAGGCUUACCAAGGCGAAGACGGGUAGGGGGCCUGAGAGGGUGACCCCCCACACUGGCACUGAAACACGGGCCAGACACCUACGGGUGGCAG
rnacentral:rRNA from 1 species